UGAAGAGUUUGAUCAUGGCUCAGAUUGAACGCUGGCGGCAGGCCUAACACAUGCAAGUCGAACGGUAACAGGAAGCAGCUUGCUGCUUCGCUGACGAGUGGCGGACGGGUGAGUAAUGUCUGGGAAACUGCCUGAUGGAGGGGGAUAACUACUGGAAACGGUGGCUAAUACCGCAUAACGUCGCAAGACCAAAGAGGGGGACCUUCGGGCCUCUUGCCAUCAGAUGUGCCCAGAUGGGAUUAGCUAGUUGGUGAGGUAACGGCUCACCAAGGCGACGAUCCCUAGCUGGUCUGAGAGGAUGACCAGCCACACUGGAACUGAGACACGGUCCAGACUCCUACGGGAGGCAGCAGUGGGGAAUAUUGCACAAUGGGCGCAAGCCUGAUGCAGCCAUGCCGCGUGUAUGAAGAAGGCCUUCGGGU
rnacentral:rRNA from 1 species